AAGCAAAUCCCAUAAACCGUGGCUCAGUUCAGAUCGUAGGCUGCAACUCGCCUACGUGAAGGAGGAAUCGCUAGUAAUCGCAGGUCAGCAUACUGCGGUGAAUACGUUCCCGGGCCUUGUACACACCGCCCGUCACACCAUGGAAGUUGGCCACGCCCGAAGCCGUUACUCCAACCCUUGUGGAGGAGGACGUCGAAGGUGGGGCUGAUGACUGGGGUGAAGUCGUAACAAGGUAUCCGUACCGGAAGGUGCGGAUGGAUCACCUCCUAA
rnacentral:rRNA from 1 species